GAUUGCUUGCUAUCUUUGGGAAGGGGUGGUGAAAAAAUUGGAACACAAGGCUUUGCAGAGCUCCCUAGGAAAAUUGGAAGAGAAGUCUGAGAGCAAGUGUAGUGAGCAGAAGGUUUAUCCAUCAGAGGCACAGAUGAGGAAGAGGAGAGAGGAGGAUUUUCCGGAAAACUUGGACUGAGAUCUAUCCAGGAUCCAGAAAUCCUGAUUGUGGAAUAGCCGCUAUUAAAGAAGGGGAAGAUGGAUCCUGUGACUUGUGGAUCAGCCAUCCCAUUCAUGGACCAUUCAAGAUUCUAGAACCACAUUGGUUUGUUUUCUUCUAGGUUUUGGUCCAUUGCAGCUGUAUCACCCAGCUUCAGAGACCCCCGAAUGCUUCAAUCAGCUCCUGACUUCUCCCACCCCCAAGCAAACCUCUCAAAAUUGAGAUCCUGUACAUUGACUCUGCUCUACACUCAUUCUCAGCAGGAAGUAGUUUCAGAAGAUGAGACAUCAACCCAUACAUACCUGAAAGGAUUUGGGGCCCCAUUUGAUUGGGGAACUGGAACUGUUUGGUGAAUGGAUCUCAAACUACUCAGUGGCCGAGUGGGUUCCCAGUGCCUUGAGAUCUAAGAGUAAAUACUUUAGGUAAUGUGAUAAAGAUUGCUGUUAAGGGUGGGGAGAAGAAGAGAGAUUGCUUCUUGGACAAAAAAGGUUUGGGAAAGUGGAGAGAUGUGUGACCAACAGCACAAGCUUAAAGAACCAAAAGAAGAACUUCUCUGGUCACAUUUUGCUUAAAAUUGGGCAUAUUCCAUACCUGAUAAGGGAGAAAAGAAAACUGAAAAGAAUUCUGAGCAAUGGGAUCCUGAAGGGAGAAGUAGGACUAAGUCCCAUAAAAAGUCUUGACUUGGCCUCUGUAGGUAUAUACACCCCUUUUUUCAAGAAUGUAAAAUAAAAUCUUUCCAGCAUUAAUUGAUCAGUGAUUCAAUGGAGUUCUUGGCAAGAUUUUCUUACAGAUCUGAUCGUCAAGACAGUGAUAUGGAUGAGGAGAAUUAGAAAUAACUUAUCGUGCUAUUUGUAGACUGUUAUUCAUAAAAAAAAGUAUUAAUAAUGGACAUUAAACACACUA